GAUGAACGCUAGCGACAGGCCUAACACAUGCAAGUCGAAGGGGCAGCACGGUGUAGCAAUACACGGGUGGCGACCGGCGCACGGGUGAGUAACGCGUAUGCAACCUGCCUACUACAAGGGGAUAACCCGUUGAAAGACGGACUAAUACCCCUAUAACACAGGGAAUCCGCAUGGAUAUAUUUGUUAAAGAUUUAUCGGUAGUAGAUGGGCAUGCGUUCCAUUAGCUUGUUGGUGAGGUAACGGCUCACCAAGGCAACGAUGGAUAGGGGAACUGAGAGGUUGAUCCCCCACACUGGAACUGAGACACGGUCCAGACUCCUACGGGAGGCAGCAGUGAGGAAUAUUGGUCAAUGGACGAGAGUCUGAACCAGCCAAGUCGCGUGAAGGAAGACGGCCCUACGGGUUGUAAACUUCUUUUGUAAGGGAAUAAAUAGUCUUACGCGCUAAGACGUUGCAGGUACCUUACGAAUAAGGAUCGGCUAACUCCGUG
rnacentral:rRNA from 1 species